ACGAGAUUUAGCAAAGCUUGCUUUGCUAAAUCUAGUGGCGAACGGGUGAGUAACACGUGAGCAACCUGCCCAGAAGCAGGGGAUAGCCCACCGAAAGGUGGAUUAAUACCGUAUGUGAUCCCAAGAGGCAUCUCUUGGAGAUUAAAGCCGGGGAUCUUCGGACCUGGCACUUCUGGAUGGGCUCGCGGCCUAUCAGCUUGUUGGUGAGGUAACGGCUCACCAAGGCGAUGACGGGUAACUGGUCUGAGAGGAUGAUCAGUCACACUGGAACUGAGACACGGUCCAGACACCUACGGGUGGCAGCAGUCGAGAAUCAUUCACAAUGGGCGAAAGCCUGAUGGUGCGACGCCGCGUGGAGGAUGACAGCUCUAGGGUUGUAAACUCCUGUCAUGAGAGAGUAAAGACCUACCGUUAAUAGCGGUCGGGUCCUGAUAGUAUCUCAAGAGGAAGGGACGGCUAACUUC
rnacentral:rRNA from 1 species